GUAGGGUGCGAGCGUUAAUCGGAAUUACUGGGCGUAAAGCGUGCGCAGGCGGUUCGUUAAGUUCGAUGUGAAAGCCCCGGGCUCAACCUGGGAACUGCAUUGGAAACUGGCGAGCUUGAGUAUGGCAGAGGGGGGUGGAAUUCCGCGUGUAGCAGUGAAAUGCGUAGAGAUGCGGAGGAACACCGAUGGCGAAGGCAGCCCCCUGGGCCAAUACUGACGCUCAGGCACGAAAGCGUGGGGAGCAAACAGGAUUAGAUACCCUGGUAGUCCACGCCCUAAACGAUGCUCACUAGGUGUUGGGGAAGCGAUUCCUUGGUACCGUAGCUAACGCGUGAAGUGAGCCGCCUGGGGAGUACGGCCGCAAGGUUA
rnacentral:rRNA from 1 species